CCCAAACCUGGUAGAUGGGUCCCUAGCUAGGUAAAUGGAGUUGACCCUAACCCUGGUAGAUGGGUCCCUAGCUAGGUAAAUGGAGUUGACCCUAACGCUGGUAGACGGAUCCCUAGCUAGGUAAAUGGAGUUGGCCCAAACCCUGGUAGAUGGGUCCCUAGCUAGGUAAAUGGAGUUGGCCCAAACCCUGGUAGAUGGGUCCCUAGCUAGGUAAAUGGAGUUGGCCCAAACCCUGGUAGAUGGGUCCCUAGCUAGGUAAAUGGAGUUGACCCUAACGCUGGUAGAUGGGUCCCUAGCUAGGUAAAUGGAGUUGACCCUAACGCUGGUAGAUGGGUCCCUAGCUAGGUAAAUGGAGUUGACCCUAACCCUGGUAGAUGGGUCCCUAGCUAGGUAAAUGGAGUUGACGCUAACCCUGGUAGAUGGGUCCCUAGCUAGGUAA